AGUGGUUAAGAGCUUGGUUGCUAACCAAAAGAUUGGCGGUCCAAAUCCGCCAGCCACUU
rnacentral:tRNA from 1 species